ACUGGGCAGCCAUGAAAUGUAACCUUGAAAAUACAGGAGAAGGAAGCUACUGUCUCAGAGGAAAUCAUGGAAAGGACUCUUCCACAGACAGCCAUCUCCCCUUCCACUAAGCAGGCUGAGCCUAAAGGGGAGGGGUUGAGCCAGCAGAGUAUGCUCAAGGGUGAAGGGACCCUAUGGGAGCCAACAAGAUCACUGAUCUCAGAGCCCGACAUCACAGGCAGUGAGAUGAGAGGAGGAGAGAGAGGAGGAGCUGACUCUGCUCUCACAAGGACAGCAGCAUCCUGAGGAGAAGGAUGAGUGACACUGCCCUCCCUGACUCUGCCUGGGGCCCCACCCUGCUCUGCUGUGUCACUGUCUUUCUCCUGGGGACAGGUUCAGCAAAUCCCGGGGUCAUCCAGUCUCCAAGACACCUAAUCAAAGCCAAGGGAGGAAGGUCCACUCUGAUAUGCAUUCCCAUGUCUGGACAUAACGGUGUGAGCUGGUACCAGCAGACUCUGGGGCAGGAACUGAAGUUCCUCAUUCAGCAUUAUGAAAAAAUGGAGACAGAGAAAGGGAGCAUGCCCAGCCGAUUCUCAGUGCAGCAGUUCAGUGACUAUCACUCUGAGAUGAACAUGAGCGCCUUGCAGCUGGAGGAUUCUGCUGUGUAUUUCUGUGCUAGCUCAUCACAGCCUUACAGAGUGACUGGCUUUCUGUCCCCAAUCUUCCUGCUCCCACUGGUUAUAUACUAGUUAGGCCUCUUGAGGUGGCUUACAGCCUUAGCCACGGCCCAGAAACGCCUAUAGCUCUUUCAUAAUACCCUCCUCAACUAACUGAGCUCACACAGAAUGGUCCUAAAACUGGUGUGGACCCUAAGAGUCCAAAUGGUCUCACUUGUCUCCUACCCAGUGGGUGGAACCUUACUGUGUUAUGUUAUGACUCUGGCCCAUCUGUUUUAAGACAAGGGUAGACAUUAACAUAUCCAGUUGUAGAUGAAGAUUUCUAUACAUCAAUAGGAAUCAGAAGCUUUUUGAAAUUUCCCAACAUUCAUGUUUGAAUACAUCAACAAAUGAACUGAAAGUUGCAUCUCUUAGCCUUCUAAGUCAACCUUCCAAAUGUCCUUGGUGCUUCCCUGUGACAGCCAUCUUUGAUGGGGACAAUAAAAGUCAUAAAUCCGCAGCAGCUUCUUUAGAACGACACAGCAAGCUGAGCCUCAUGAUGGCUACCGUGCCACAUUUGGUUUUUGUCUCCAUCUGUUGCAUA